GACAGAGGUGCCGAGCGUUAGGCGGAAUCACUGGGCUUAAAGCGUGUGUAGGUGGAUGCCUAAGUACCUUGUGAAAUCCCACGGCUUAACCGUGGAACUGCUCGGUAUACUGGGUGUCUUGAGCCAGCUAGGGGCUACCGGAACAAAUGGUGGAGCGGUGAAAUGCGUAGAUAUCAUUUGGAACGCCAAUGGUGAAAACAGGUAGCUGGGGCUGUGCUGACACUGAGACACGAAAGCCAGGGGAGCGAAACGGG
rnacentral:rRNA from 1 species